rnacentral:rRNA from 1 species
UACGUAGGGUGCAAGCGUUAAUCGGAAUUACUGGGCGUAAAGCGUGCGCAGGCGGUUUUGUAAGACUGUCGUGAAAUCCCCGGGCUUAACCUGGGAAUUGCGAUGGUGACUGCAAGGCUAGAGUUUGGCAGAGGGGGGUAGAAUUCCACGUGUAGCAGUGAAAUGCGUAGAGAUGUGGAGGAACACCGAUGGCGAAGGCAGCCCCCUGGGUCAAUACUGACGCUCAUGCACGAAAGCGUGGGGAGCAAACAGG